AGGGUUCGAUUCUGGCUCAGGAUGAACGCUGGCGGCGUGCCUAACACAUGCAAGCGAACGAAGCACUGCGGAUGGAGAUUCGUCAAAAUCUGCUUUGACUUAGUGGCGGACGGGUGAGUAAUGUGUGAGCAACCUGCCUUUCAGAGGGGGACAACAGUUGGAAACGACUGCUAAUACCGCAUAAUGUAUUGAAAGGGCAUCCUUUUGAUACCAAAGGAGCAAUCCGCUGAAAGAUGGGCUCACAUCUGAUUAGCUAGUUGGUGGGGUAACGGCCUACCAAGGCUGCGAUCAGUAGCCGGACUGAGAGGUUGAACGGCCACAUUGGGACUGAGAUACGGCCCAGACUCCUACGGGAGGCAGCAGUGGGGAAUAUUGGGCAAUGGGCGAAAGCCCUGACCCAGCAACGCCGCGUGAAGGAAGAAGGUCUUCGGAUUGUAAACUUCUUUUAUGAGGGACGAAGGACGUCGACGGUACCCUCAUGAACUUAAGCCACGGCUACUACGUGCCAGCCGCCGC
rnacentral:rRNA from 1 species